GACGCAAGGAUCCCAGAGACUGCCUGUGCUUUCUGGCAUUUGAAGGUUCUCAUUUUAAUGGCAAUCCUUGAAAACCUAAAAGCCUUAGAAACCAGAAGAAAUCAAUGUUUAAUGUUGGAACUUGAAACAUUAUGACAAAGGAGAAGGAGCUGAAAGGAAUUUUUAGACUUCACUGAGUGCAACCAAUUCAUCUUCUGCAUGAGCAAACUUAGAAGGAGAGAGAGAAAUGACAGGUGUCACACUACAGCCCCAGAUUUCCUAACACAAACUCCAGGAAAAGAAUCAUAUUGACUCACCGAGUAAUCUGCCAAGCCCUGUCAAAGGCUACGGACCCUCCUAUUCCACUUUUCGAAGCCUGUCAAAGAUGACAAAGAUGACAAACAAGUGAUGAGGACACUAAGGCACAGUUAAGGAAUAACUUGUCAAAGAUCACAGUGUUAGUAGUGAGAAAGAAUGCAGAUACAAAUCCUCCAACUCUGCAUCCCCUGUGUGCCCCACACCCUGCCCCCGAGGCCACACUAAAGACAGAG
rnacentral:lncRNA from 1 species